rnacentral:rRNA from 1 species
AGCGAACGUUUGCGGCGGGCCUAACACAUGCAAGUCGAACGCACUAGCAAUAGUGAGUGGCGCACGGGUGCGUAACACGUGGGUAAUCAACCCUUCAGCCUGGGAUAACGACUCGAAAGGGUCGCUAAUACCGGAUACGGCGCGAGAGGCUUCGGCUUCUCACGAGAAAGCCACGCAAGGGGCACUGAAGGACGAGCCUGCGGCCCAUCAGCUAGUUGGUGAGGUAAGAGCUCACCAAGGCUAAGACGGGUAGCUGGUCUGAGAGGAUGAUCAGCCACACUGGAACUGAGACACGGUCCAGACUCCUACGGGAGGCAGCAGUGGGGAAUAUUGCGCAAUGGGCGAAAGCCUGACGCAGCCACGCCGCGUGAGCGAUGAAGGCCUCGGUCGUAA